GGAAGGGGUGUAUUUAUUAGAUAAAAAACCAACGCCCUUCGGGGCUCCUUGGUGAAUCAUAAUAACUUAACGAAUCGCAUGGCCUUGCGCCGGCGAUGGUUCAUUCAAAUUUCUGCCCUAUCAACUUUCGAUGGUAGGAUAGUGGCCUACCAUGGUGGCAACGGGUAACGGGGAAUUAGGGUUCGAUUCCGGAGAGGGAGCCUGAGAAACGGCUACCACAUCCAAGGAAGGCAGCAGGCGCGCAAAUUACCCAAUCCCGAUACGGGGAGGUAGUGACAAUAAAUACUGAUACGGGGCUCUUUUGGGUCUCGUAAUUGGAAUGAGAACAAUUUAAAUCCCUUAACGAGGAACAAUUGGAGGGCAAGUCUGGUGCCAGCAGCCGCGGUAAUUCCAGCUCCAAUAGCGUAUAUUAAAGUUGUUGCAGUUAAAAAGCUCGUAGUUGAACCUUGGGUCUGGCUGGCCGGUCCGCCUCACCGCGAGUACUGGUCCGGCUGGACCUUUCCUUCUGGGGAACCUCAUGGCCUUCACUGGCUGCGGGGGGAACCAGGACUUUUAC
rnacentral:rRNA from 1 species